rnacentral:rRNA from 1 species
GAUGAACGCUGGCGGCGUGCCUAAUACAUGCAAGUCGAGCGAACAGACGAGGAGCUUGCUCCUCUGACGUUAGCGGCGGACGGGUGAGUAACACGUGGAUAACCUACCUAUAAGACUGGGAUAACUUCGGGAAACCGGAGCUAAUACCGGAUAAUAUAUUGAACCGCAUGGUUCAAUAGUGAAAGACGGUUUUGCUGUCACUUAUAGAUGGAUCCGCGCCGCAUUAGCUAGUUGGUAAGGUAACGGCUUACCAAGGCAACGAUGCGUAGCCGACCUGAGAGGGUGAUCGGCCACACUGGACCUGAGACACGGUCCAGACUCCUACGGGAGGCAGCAGUAGGGAAUCUUCCGCAAUGGGCGAAAGCCUGACGGAGCAACGCAGCGUGAGUGAUGAAGGUCUUCGGAUCGUAAAACUCUGUUAUUAGGGAAGAACAAAUGUGUAAGUAACUAUGCACGUCUUGACGGUACCUAAUCAGAAAGCCACGGCUAACUACGUG